CAGCAGCCGCGGUAAUACAGAGGGUGCGAGCGUUAAUCGGAUUUACUGGGCGUAAAGCGUGCGUAGGCGGCUUCUUAAGUCGGAUGUGAAAUCCCUGAGCUUAACUUAGGAAUUGCAUUCGAUACUGGGAAGCUAGAGUAUGGUAGAGGAUGGUAGAAUUCCAGGUGUAGCGGUGAAAUGCGUAGAGAUCUGGAGGAAUACCGAUGGCGAAGGCAGCCAUCUGGCCUAAUACUGACGCUGAGGUACGAAAGCAUGGGGAGCAAACAGGAUUAGAUACCCGUGUAGUCCCUGUCUCUUAUAC
rnacentral:rRNA from 1 species